GGACGAUUCAACUGAUUUAUUAUUAGAAAAAUUGUCUUCUGGGCUCUACCUACUCACUGUUUACAGAUUUCAAUCCUUAGCCUCACUAAAUUCUCUAAUAGCGGGAAUGGAGCAAACACUUGGUAUUCCAAUUACCUUUGAGAAAAUUUAAAUCAUGGAUGAUGAUACACUCAAAUGCUUCCCAGUAGACUCUUCAUAUCAGUGGAUGUCCAAAGUCCGAUUUC
rnacentral:misc_RNA from 1 species